CUGGCUGACGGGGGCGGGAGGGGGUGGGGUGGUGGGAACCGGCCACGCCGGGAAAGGUGCAGUAGGCGCACACAAUUGACUGAAGAGGACAGCUGAGACUUAUACGGAGGAUUCCACCUACGUCUCCAGCCAGCCUUACGGUUCUCCCACUGCUGCUCAACACUAAGGGCCCUGGGAGAGCGGGUGCGGGCGGCUGAGCUCUGCCCGCAUCCCACCUCUCACGCAGCCGCGGAGUGGACUCGGCCUGGGAACCCUUGUAAUCCAAUUGCGGGAGGAGGUGCCAGGAAUGACCCCUCCACCGUGGGCUGUGGGCGUGGUGGGAGGAUCAUUUCACCCCAGGACAAGGGUGAGCCCUUAGGAAGCUGGAAUAGAUACUUCGAAGCCCGAGAUGACCACUGUCCACGGCAGCCUCAGUCCCUUUCUCCCAGAACAUCAUUUAGCUGUUGAGCUAAAUCAUCCACUUGGCCCCUUACAGCCUCGACCUCGUCACAAUGAAGUAGAUGAGGCCACAGAAGCCUUUGUUAUCUCCACGAGCAGCUGGAGCCCGGCUUUGGCUGAGCCCUGGCAAUGCCUGCUACACCCCAGACCAAGACAGAAGACAACCAGCAUCUAUGAACCAGGAAGCCCCCACCAGGCACUGAAUCUGCCCCUGCGUGGAUCUUAGACUUGCAGACUCCAGAACUAACCUUACAAUGUCUCUUCUCCAUUAAGAAAACCUACUUCAACAUCUCCAUUGGUUCUCAACAUAGAGGUCCAAAUUUUGGUCUGGAGCCAGAGACAAUAUAGGAUGAAGUUUGAUUUGUUCCAAAACCCACAGAAAUCUCUAAAAUGGAAGAAUUUUCUUAGAACCAAAAGGCAUGGAAUUGAUGACAUGAAACUGCCUGAGCUUCUCAGCUGACCUGUGAUGGAGUGUUGUGCCCAAGUGGAAAGUUCUUCUUUCUUUCAGAGACAUAUCAUUCACCAUAAAAUACAACCAGAGACUUCAAAAUUACUCCAGGCUAGAAGGACACUCCAAUUAGGGGAAAAGUAACCUAUGGGCAAACCAUCUUCCGUAAGAGUUCAAGGACAAAAAACUACUGAUGUUGUAAUAACAUUGAAACUUAAUGUUUUGGGCAAUCCUUAAGUGAUUUAUUUGGAGUGUCCCAGUCAUUUUAGACCUCUUCACCUUACAAUGUAUUGUGUGAGAUUAUAUUUCCAUGCACCUAAUUUUAAAAUAAAUUUAUUUAGGUAGAUGUAGAGACAUAUUACUGUGAUAAAGCAGUUCAUACCAAAUAAAAUUUAGCUAA
rnacentral:lncRNA from 1 species